UGAACGCUAGCGGCAGGCUUAACACAUGCAAGUCGAGGGGCAGCAUGAGGGUUAGCAAUAACCUUGAUGGCGACCGGCGCAAGGGUGCGUAACGCGUGAGCAACUUGCCCGUUUCUGGGGGAUAACCGGUGGAAACGCCGACUAAUACCCCAUAGUAUUGAUUUCAGGCAUCUGUUAUCAAUUAAAGAAUUUCGGAAACGGAUAGGCUCGCGUGACAUUAGCUAGAUGGCGGGGUAACGGCCCACCAUGGCAACGAUGUCUAGGGGUUCUGAGAGGAAGGUCCCCCACACUGGAACUGAGACACGGUCCAGACUCCUACGGGAGGCAGCAGUGAGGAAUACUGGUCAAUGGGCGAGAGCCUGAACCAGCCAAGUAGCGUGCAGGAUGACGGCCCUAUGGGUUGUAAACUGCUUUUAUGCGGGAAUAAGAUCAGAUACGUGUAUCUGCGUGCAUGUACCGCAUGAAUAAGGACCGGCUAAUUCCGUG
rnacentral:rRNA from 1 species